AGACGUCAAUGAGUGUACCGAAAACCCAUGCCAACACGGACGCUGUGUGAACGAAGAUGGCGGCUACAAAUGUACCUGCUCACCUGGAUGGACUGGACAGAACUGUCAGCAAGACAUCGAUGAGUGUGCCAAAAACCCAUGCAAACAUGGACUCUGUAAGAACAGAAGAGGUCGUUACAAAUGUACCUGCUCACCUGGAUGGACUGGGCGGAACUGUAAUCGAGACAUCAAUGAGUGUACCAAAAACCCAUGCCAACAUGGACACUGCGUGAACAGACGAGG